AUCUUGUUGCAGUUUUUUACAGAUAUUAACCAUUCUCUGGUACUUCUUUGAGAUAAGAUUACUUCUGUAGUUCCGUUUCAAUUUUUUUAGUUAUUUUAUGAUCAUAAAUCCAAACCCUUUGUUAACUUUGAAUGAUUAAAACCUAGAAACGUUUCAUUGACAUUAUCUGUUUCCCUCUGAUCGAUGUAUCUGGUUUUAUUACAGAGAUGUCUUGUCUUCCACGGGAUGGUUUGGAUGAGCAUAUUGUUAAUUCGUUAUACACAUGGAUGGUGCCAACAUUUUGGCAGUCAGUUACGGCUCUCCUGGAGCGUGUCCGUAUCCUCGACAGUUGAAAUUUCCAGGAAAAUGGACAUUUAACUCCCACACUAUCUUGAAGAGUAGUGAGCAGGCACCAAGAACUCCGAUAUUAUUACAGUGGAUGUACCUGAUACCACUUGGACUCAUAGUGAUGAAUACAAGCGAGUAACAUGGCGGAAGAACAAACUCCGGGGUCUCAAGGGCAAGCACCAGCAGCGAUUCAGCGCGGUUCCGCACCCAGGAGAAGAUGAUGAUUCCUUUCUCAAUUUCUUAUAAACAUGAUUUUUUUUUUUUAAUACUUAUAUAUCUGUUGUGGAGCUAUGUCACUGGAACAACAUGCAUUCGUAGGCUAGUUAUUGUAACGACCAGACUAUCCAGCCGGUGUUAUGACUACUAGCUUAACAUUGUUAUUUGAUUUUACAUGUGAUAAAUAAUUUUAGACUUCACUGUUUGAAGAGUUAAAAGAUUUCAUAGUGGCCUGAUUCAGGUUUUAUAUUAUAUAUUUUCUAAAUAACAUUUUGAAACCAUGGUUAAUGUGUUGUCAAGGCUAAAUACUUCAAAAUACCUCAAAAUAAUGUUCUUUGUCAUAUAUAUAUCGCAUUCAAAAUCGAAACUCACAAUGCAUUGUUGAGGGAAAUAAACAACUGAGUAAAUUAAUAUUCUUUGUUAGGACAUUAGGAGAGUGUAAAGAGAAACUGAAGAAUGUUGGGAGGCACGCAAAAACAUUAGUUUGUAAACCUCACACAUCAAAGGUUGUUGUAGGCUCGUCAUGCCUUUGCAUAUCCACUGUAAAUUGGUAUGCUAGGUAUGGCAACAUCUACCGAACAAAAGAUGGGGAAAAGAAGACUGCUUCAGGUGCAUCCGAUGUUCUCGGUGACCGUCCUUUCAGUCAGAGGGUUCUUCUCACCUUCGAGGAGGAGAAAAAGCUCCCUUACAAGACUCAUCACAAUAACACUCUUUUACAUCAAUUUUUUUUUUGUCAAAUCUAAUCCUAAGGAUACAACCAGAUGCAAAGAAAAUACAUUGGUCUCUCAGAUUUUCAAUUUAUGAAAAAAAAAGGAAGAAAAUCCUAAGCAAAAGUGGAGGGAAAGGACUACGAUAUGAUAAUAAUAUAGUAAAUGAUCACUUUACCGUCACAGAUCGUCAUUACCCGGAAAAAAAAUUCAUUGUUUCUCGAUAUGCGCAUGUGCUUUUAGAGUAAAGCCCCCGAAAAAUAGAUUAAAACCUGUUUCUUUUUCGUCUUUGUCUCCACCACUUUUCACAUCCAAAACUAAACCCUUGUUUGUUCCACCUUCUUGUUUCACUGUUGUGUUUCUUCGUUUUCCCCUCUACCGAAUCCACAAUGCGAAUCUCUGAAUCGGACUCGUUGAUAUCUCGGCAUCUCUCUCUCUCGAUUUUCCCGUUCUAUCCAUUCGUUUCUCCGUCCGAUCCGGCCAGGCUUUCAAAUUUUCCAGUAUGCUGGAGCGUUGAAGAAGAGGAGGGCUUUCAGUUAAAUGGGUGUUGUGCAACUCUAUCCAGCGAACCUGGUCUGGAGGAUGGUGUAACCGAGAUGAAGAACAAGAACACGGUAAAUGUGGUUAAGCCGAUUGAUACAGAAAAGAAAACAGUGACAAACAUGAUGAUUUCUCUGUGGAAGAGAAGGGAGAUAGAUCUAAGCAAGUGAGGUUGACAACAUGGGUGAUUGUUUUGUUGAUGAGGUGAAAGCAGGGAAUGCUCUUCUCUGUCUGUGGCAAAUGAUUACAGAAAAGAGAUUGACAAACAAUGGUGUGGCUGUGGAAAAAGGAAAGAAAGGGAGGCAAAAGUAGUGAUGGCUUUUCUGUUAAGAAGAAGCUACUACGUGAGCUUGUGGAAUUUCCUGGUGCCUAAGGAGACUCAUGGAAAAGAGGACGGCCUCGGAAGCUGCAGAUUAGCAGUCAGUCUGAUGGUAACGAGGACAAAGUUAUUUGCGUUAAGGAGAAGCAAGAUCUAGGGAAUGAGCAAUGGGCGGAACCUAAUAAGAUUCUAGGAGUCAGUCAGGUUGAGAUUCGGGUGGGUAGAUCAUACGAUGAAAAUGGGCCACAUAAUGAAGAGCUAAAAGUCAAACGUAAGCGGGGAAAGUUACCGGCUGAGAAUGUCAGACUGUGAGCAUGGGAGCACCCUGUUAACGUUGGAACAGAGUAACUCUAUUGAGAUGAUUCCAGGAGGAGACCAAAGCGUAACUGUGGAGGCAGGGCUAAGAGACAUGACUUUGACGGAGGCGAUUGCAGGAGGGGAAGGAAGCGUGGAAGACCUCCAACACCAAAGACGAAGAAGAAACCUGGGGAGACUGAUUGUAAAGCAAUGAAGCCUUGUGAGAGUUCCUCAAUGUCACGGGACAACAAACCCUCAAGUGAUGGCGAAAUGAGGAUUGGAGAACAAAAGCAAAAUAAUGAUAGGAAGACGAUCUUUAUUAGAAUCCAAGAAAAAGCAAGCUUAGUUUGAGUUACUUCUAGCUGCUGGUUGGACAGUUGAAUACAGGCCCCGUAACGGCGGGAAGACGUAGCACAACGCUGCUGUUUAUGUGAAUCCCCACUGGUCAGUGACCAAAGCUUAUGAAGUCUAUAAAGUAAAUUCUAGAUCAAGCAGACUCUGUUCUUGGGUUACUGCCAGAAGAGGACCUUGACCUUUUAAGGAGAAAAGCUCAGAAGAAACGGAGCGAUACAGGUAAGCCAAAGGUCAAAGAACCGCAAGGACACAUAUACUAAUGAAGAUAUGGUCUCGAAAGAGAAAAAGCGCAGAAGAAACGAAAAGGGUCACACAGCUUAGAAAGAAGUUUGGUUUCAGUCCGGAAAAUAAAGAGGGAAGAAAAACAUAAUAGAAAGCUGCGGUGCUUUGUCAGCUCGCAGUUCUUUGUCGGAUGCAGAUUCCAACGAGAAUGGGUACAUUUUGUUUGAAGGGAAACGCACCAUGCUGGGAUGGAUGAUUGAUUCAGCCAUUGUGCCACUUAACGGGAAAGUUCACUGCGAAAACACUGAAGAAGGAAUAAUCACAAAAGAAGGUAUAUUCGAUGCAACUGCUGUGAUGAAGUAUUCUCGGUUCUCGAUUUUGAAGUUCAUUCUGGAAUAAGCAAAGCGAAACAGUGCUUAAAGGGUUCCAUGAUGUGGAUUUUGGUAGUGGAGAUCAAAAUGAUGAUACAUGUGCUAUAUGCGGGGACGCGGGAGAUCUUAACUGCUGUGAUGGUUGCCCGUCAACUUUCCAUCAGAGCUGCCUGGGCAUUAAAGUGUCUUGUACAACUUCAACCUCCAAAUCAUCAACAAUAACCAAGAUUUGGAGUUCUGGAUUGGCACACACAUGACCGCGGAACCAACUCGUCUUACAUUGGAAACACAGCUUUAGCCUCUUCAACUCAGCUAAUUCAGCUGGAGUCAAAUGUAAUCGUGGUCUCCUGGUAAGUUCUUGUGCACUUCUGGCUGCUUAGACUUAUCUUCUGCAACUGGUGGCAGAAUCUUUUGUUGUUGUCGGUAUUGUCUAGCAGGCUGAGCAUGGUACUCGUUCUGUCUAGGUUUCGCACGUUCACCCAUCACUUGACAGAAGAUACCAGUUCAGGACUUCUCCUGUUAAACUCAGAGCCACUAACUCAAGCUUUUGCUGUUCAUUAUACUGAGCCGCUCUGAAGUAUCGUUCGACAUUACGGAUCCAACCAUAUGGCAACAAUCCAUCAAACUCAGGCAAUUCAAUCUUCUUCAACAAACUUUCUCUACUAUGGAACAUCUCAUUACUCCUCUGAUAACCUAAUGAGAGAUUCUCCUAUUCAGAUGGUGAUAUCGGUACCUGAGUGUCACUACGGAGUUCCGAUGAUCCUGUGAUAUCUUUGCCGUUAGGCUUUGCUGGAACUGUGUGAGACUCGAUACGAUCGAUCGCCGCUGCGAUCUUCUAUAACUGAAACUCGACGGAGCUCAGUCGCGACUCUACUGCACCGAAGCGUUCCUCCGAUUGACCGUUAGCUUCCGUCAGCUUCCUCCAUCCUUCGUAUAUCACCUUCACCGUCUUCUCCGCCUCCAUAGCAGACCUCUCCAAAUGCUCGAUUCGUCCAUCCGAUUCGCUAACCAGAGCCAUCGCGAGUCGCUCACCGCACCAAUUGAUAGAGUUUGAACUUUCGAUUCUCUAAAUUCCCAUCUGGUUCUUGGUUUUGUUGCUACUGCUCAUGCAAAAUUCUGCGAGAAAGUUGAGGCAGCUAAUCAUGGCACUACAACUCUUUCUCCCUUGUUGAGGUGCUACCUAUGUGAAGAAAAAU